CCUUAUAUAUUAAUAUUGAUAUUGAAGUGGAGCAGACAGCAAUCUAGAAGUUCUUCUGGUGGUCUGGCACCUUUUCUGUUCAUGUUUUUGUUGAUCAGAACAGAAAAAAAACACACUGUAAAGUUUAGGCAAGGGCGAGAUGGCUUUAUGAGGAAGUUUGAGGGUUGCUGGAUGAUAGAACCCCUUUUUGUUGACAAGGAAUUAUGCCUUCCUCUGAAUCCACAUUCAUUGGAGGAAUAUGAAUCUUGUACUGGUGGCAGGGGGAGCGCACCGUCGCCUCCUUCCGGGACCGCCUCGCCGCGCACGGCCUCCUCCCCGACAAGCACGGUGACUACCACAUGAUGCUCAGGUUCCUCAAGGCCAGGAAGUUCAAAGCCGAUAAGGCGAUGCUGAUGUGGUCGGAGAUGCUGAAAUGGAGGAAGGAGUUCGGAACUGACACCAUCC